rnacentral:piRNA from 1 species
UGUAUUGCCCCAGAUGUCGUAGUGUGGUU